CCAACCAUAUCAGAAAACACGCAGUUCCAUCUUACAGUGAGUUAAAUUGAUUUAAGGUUUAUUAUGUUAUGAAUAAUACAUUACGUGUCGCAUUUCGGAAUUUUUAGUAUAUUCAAUUUUUAACCGCUUUAACAACCACCAAUCAAUUAUCACAAUCACAACUAAUUCAGCAGAAUGGAUUCAAUAAUCAACACCGGAUUAUAUACUUUCUCAAUCGUUUUUUAAACUGCUUUAACAAUCACCAAUCAAUUGUCGUCAAUAAUCACAACUCACUGAGCAGAAUGGGUCCGAUAAUCAACACCAGGUUAUUGUUUAUUAUUUCAAUUUCUUUCAACAACAUAUAGAUUUAUUUUAAUUUCUUUCAAUUUAUUUCAACAACAUAUAGGAAAAGGUACGAAUCAAUUUGAGGUACAACUCAUGUGUGUAUUUAUAAAUUUAGCGCAGCCGUUGGAUUUACGAAAAAGAACUAAUCAAUUUGAGGUACAAAUCUCGUGCAUAUUCUAAUUCUAGUUUGUCAUAUUCAAUUUCUUUCAACUGAUUUCAACAACAUAGGAAAAGUUAAGAAUCAAUUUGAGGUACGAAAUGAGGUACGAAUGAACUAAGUACGAAACAGCCUGCACCCCUUUUGAUACGGUUUGAAGCCAUUCCUAUAGCUUUGUCUGAAAAUGAGCGACAGCUUGUAUAGAGAUCGACUAUUUGGCGCCAGUGAAAAAGUCUCACGAGAUUAUCACAGUGUCACGUGUCUUCUAGCGACGUGUACAGGUGAAAGGCUAUGUUCAUUCAUUUGUGAUUUAAAGAAAAUACAAUACCUGGGAUGUGCUUUACCGGUUUCCAAUGGUAUAAUAACAUUGGACGUGACUUACCGAUUUGUGAUGUAUUUGUCAAUGGUGGAGUCAUAUAAUACUAUGACCACGGUAUGGUGAGCAUCUAUGGGUGUGCACUUUUUUUAUAUUCACCUUUUUUAUUCGUACUUCGUACAUAAAUAACCGUAAUCAAAAUAAACGAUCGGAUAAACGACUUGCGAGAAAUUAAACGCUUCGUCUAAUAUUUAAACCCUGUAGAUAAAUUCAUCGGGUGUUAAUUUAUUUACGCAUCUCGGGAAAUUAAAGUGCUCGGCUAGUAAAUAAACCCAUUAUAUAAAUAAACGGAUCCUCCAUUUCUAAACACCUCUCGGAGAAAUUAAACGCUGUACCAUUAAAUUAAGCCAUAGAACUAAUUAAACGAUUUUUGUAAUUUUCAAGCGUUAUUAUCAAUUAUCAAACGAUGUUUUGAAAUUAAACUGUAUGCAUAGUUAUUAGUGCUAAAACAACCAUAUUAAACGAUACCAAUCUUAUAGUGUUUACCUGAGGGUGUUUUCUUCAGUGUCUACUGGCUACCUGAUCCUGUCCCUGGAAGUGAAGGGCAUUAAAAGACAUUUUCUGAUUUGUGUGGGACAGUCACCUCAGAAGAACACCGCCCGAGUCUUAACACCACAAAAGUUAAGAAGGACAUUAGGAAAAGAAAGAAGUUCAGCAAGUCAUUCCAGACGAAGUCCAACGCCACCCCAGGGCAAACAGUUAAAGCCAGGCCAGUGCAGGCUGACGAGAACCCAGAUGGUACUGGAGGAGUGGAUGAAAGUGUGCAGCCUCAAGCCAGUACUGAUGAUGACAUCCAGAUGGUUGAGAAUGAGGGAUCAAGUGGUGGGGACGAUGACGGUGAUGAUGAUUUUGGCAAAAUCGACAGAUGCUCUGCAGAGACGGCGAGAAAUUAUGUCCACUGCUUCAUGUGUGGAAAGCCAAGGGUGAUCUAUGCAAUGAAGAUGUUGACAAAAGAUCAAGCCAUCAAGAUCCAAAGGACCAUUGAAGAUGCCCUGUAUAGCUAUGGGGGAGGUCUGGACCUUGACUUCUGUGGCGUUGAGGCAGAGAUAACUUGUGAGAAUGAGAUAAGUCAACACUACUACAGUAGGCGGGUAAAUUUUCCACUUUGUUGUGCAAUUUGUGCAGAUGCAGACAUAACUGGAGGCUCAACGAUGGACAACAGGCCAGUCUGUGAAUACUGCACCACUUCUGGUGCAUUUCGCACUAGUAGUGCAAAACGCCUGAAGAAAAACUGACUUGAUUUUGAUUUCAUGAACUGUAUGUAGUUUCACAGACUUCGAAUGUGGUUUCAUGAACUGUAUGGACUUCUCUUUGAAAUAUUGCUUCAUUGAUUCCAUUGUUUUUAAAACUUUUCAGUUUAGUGUUAAAUGUUUUGUUGUGUUUUUGAAGUUUUGAUGGGGUGUGGGGGGUAAAGAAUCCAGGUGAGACAUUUUUUUUGUAAAUUUUUGUUAACUUGUGUAAUCUUCACUACCAAGAAGUGUGUUCCAAUAAAAGUGAAAGCUUUAUACAUGUACAAGUUUAUUAAAAGUAUAUGAUAUAAAUUCAUACAUUAGAGUAGUUAUGUUAUUAUUGUUAAAUUAACAAUCCAUUAGAUGUAGAUGGCAGCGCCACUGAACU